UACGUAGGUGGCGAGCGUUGUCCGGAAUCACUGGGCGUAAAGGGCGCGUAGGCGGCGAUGUAAGUCGCAUGUGAAAUUCCAGGGCUCAACCCUGGGGGGUCAUGCGAAACUACAUGGCUUGAGUGCAGUAGAGGAAAGCGGAAUUCCUGGUGUAGCGGUAAAAUGCGUAGAGAUCAGGAGGAACACCGGUGGCGAAGGCGGCUUUCUGGGCUGCAACUGACGCUGAGGCGCGAAAGCGUGGGGAGCAAACAGG
rnacentral:rRNA from 1 species